UUAAAGAAAGCGUAAUAGCUCACUAGUCGAGUCGGCCUGCGCGGAAGAUGUAACGGGGCUAAGCCAGUUACCGAAGCUGCGGAUGUGCAAUUUAUUGCACGUGGUAGGAGAGCGUUCUGUAGGCCUGUGAAGGUGUCUGGUAACGGAUGCUGGAGGUAUCAGAAGUGCGAAUGCUGACAUGAGUAGCGUUAAAGGGGGUGAAAAGCCCCCUCGCCGUAAGCGCAAGGUUUUCUACGCAACGUUCAUCGGCGUAGAGUGAGUCGGCCCCUAAGGCGAGGCAGAGAUGCGUAGCUGAUGGGAAACAGGUCAAUAUUCCUGUACCGAUCAAUAGUGCGAUGUGGGGACGGAGAAGGUUAGCUCAGCCAACUGUUGGAUAUGUUGGUUCAAGCCUGUAGUCGUGCCUGGUAGGCAAAUCCGCCGGGCUUAGAUGAGGGGUGAUAACGAGUCUGCUUGCAGACGAAGUGAGUGAUACCCUGCUUCCAGGAAAAGCCACUAAGCUUCAGGUUAAAUCGAACCGUACCCCAAACCGACACAGGUGAUCAGGUAGAGAAUACUAAGGCGUUCGAGAGAAUCAUGGUUAAGGAACUCGGCAAAAUGCCCCCGUAACUUCGGGAGAAGGGGGGCCCGACGUGUGAGACCCCUUUGCGGGUUGGCACGGAGGGCCGCAGAGACCAGGGAGAAGCGACUGUUUACUAAAAACACAGGUCCGUGCGAAGUCGUAAGACGAUGUAUACGGACUGACUCCUGCCCGGUGCUGGAAGGUUAAGAGGACCGGUUAGUAGUCUUUGACUGCGAAGCUGAGAAUUUAAGCCCCAGUAAACGGCGGUGGUAACUAUAACCAUCCUAAGGUAGCGAAAUUCCUUGUCGGGUAAGUUCCGACCUGCACGAAUGGUCUAAUGAGUUGAACACUGUCUCCUCCACGAGCCCGGUGAAAUUGUAGUAUCGGUGAAGAUGCCGGUUACCCGUCACGGGACGGAAAGACCCCAUGAACCUUCACUACAACUUUGCAUUGAUUUUGAGCACCAAGUGUGUAGGAUAGUUGGGAGACUAUGAAGCAGUGUCGCCAGGCAUUGUGGAGUCAUCGUUGAAAUACCAACCUCUUGUUGCUUAGAACCUAACCCCUACAGGGGGACAUUGCAUGGUGGGUAGUUUGACUGGGGUGGUCGCCUCCUAAAAAGUAACGGAGGCUCGCAAAGGUACCCUCAGUACGGUUGGUAAUCGUACGUAGAGCGCAUUAGUAUAAGGGUGCUUGACUGUGAGACAGACAAGUCGAUCAGGUGCGAAAGCAGGCUAAAGUGAUCCGGUGGUUCUGUAUGGAAGGGCCAUCGCUCAACGGAUAAAAGGUACGCCGGGGAUAACAGGCUGAUGACCCCCAAGAGUCCAUAUCGACGGGGUUGUUUGGCACCUCGAUGUCGACUCAUCGCAUCCUGGGGCUGGAGCAGGUCCCAAGGGUAUGGCUGUUCGCCAUUUAAAGAGGUACGUGAGCUGGGUUUAAAACGUCGUGAGACAGUUUGGUCCCUAUCUUCCGUGGGCGCUGCAAGAUUGAGAGAGCCUGCUCCUAGUACGAGAGGACCGGAGUGGACGCACCUCUGGUGUAUCGGUUGUCACGCCAGUGGCAUUGCCGAGUAGCUAAGUGCGGAAGAGAUAACCGCUGAAAGCAUCUAAGC
rnacentral:rRNA from 1 species